rfam:Oryza sativa Japonica Group DNA, chromosome 12, cultivar: Nipponbare, complete sequence.
GUUGUCGACGAUGAAGAUCUCAUCUCCUAUUUCAUUGCUAGCUCGACGACAACUUUGAGCCGGUCAUCUCAUCCAUUGUCAGUAAAACCGAACCGAUGAUUAAUUUCUGGGAGAGGCAUACUCCUAGUGGCUUGGCUUUGAGC